rnacentral:rRNA from 1 species
CAGUAGCCGCGGUAAUACGAAGGGUGCAAGCGUUAAUCGGAAUUACUGGGCGUAAAGCGCGCGUAGGUGGUUCGCCAAGUUGGAUGUGAAAUCCCCGGGCUCAACCUGGGAACUGCAUCCAAAACUGGCGAGCUAGAGUAUGGUAGAGGGUGGUGGAAUUUCCUGUGUAGCGGUGAAAUGCGUAGAUAUAGGAAGGAACAUCAGUGGCGAAGGCGACCACCUGGACUGAUACUGACACUGAGGUGCGAAAGCGUGGGGAGCAAACAGGAUUAGAUACCCCUGUAGUCCCUGUCUCUUAUAC